AACGAACGCUGGCGGCAUGCCUAACACAUGCAAGUCGAACGAGAUCUUCGGAUCUAGUGGCGCACGGGUGCGUAACGCGUGGGAAUCUGCCCCUUGCUUCGGAAUAACAGUGAGAAUUUUCUGCUCAUACCGGUUGUUUUCUCCGGUCCAGCGAUUUAUCGGCAAGGGAUGAGCCCGCGUAGGCUUCGGUUGUUGGUGGGGUAAUGGCCUACCAAGCCGUCGAUCCUUAGCUGGUCGGAGAGGAUGAUCAGCCACACUGGGACUGAGACACGGCCGAGACGCCUACGAGAGGCAGCAGAGGGGAAUAUUGGACGAUGGGCGAAAGCCAGAUAAAGCAAUGCCGCGUGAGAGAUGAAGGCAUUAGGGUUGAAAAGCGCUUUUACCAGGGAUGAUAAUGACAGUACCUGGAGAAUAAGCGCCGGCUAACUCCGUG
rnacentral:rRNA from 1 species